rnacentral:lncRNA from 1 species
AACUAAGGUCUGAAUGGUACAGAAGAGGUUUGGGGAACACUGCAGAAGACUGUGGUGGCAAUGGGAGUGGAGGCAUAAGAACUGGGAAGGAUGGGCUAUCCUCGGACAUGACAAGUUCCUUGCAUUCAGGAUUGCUGAACUGUGAUUGUCUGCACAAGGCUCACACAAGAACAGGCCUGUCAGCAUCCUGUCAUGAGGGAGAUAGGCUCACAAGGCCGCUCCAGUCACUGAAGAUCUAUAAUCAGUUAAUCCUUGCUGGAGGAGGGAGAGACCUCAACGAAGAAGGGAGACUGUGUGAGAAACCAAGACUGAGC